GAUGAAGAACGUAGUGAAAUGCGAUAAGUAAUGUGAAUUGCAGAAUUCAGUGAAUCAUCGAGUCUUUGAACGCACAUUGCGCCCCCUGGUAUUCCGGGGGGCAUGCCUGUCCGAGCGUCAUUGCCGCCCUCAAGCACGGCUUGUGUGUUGGGCCCCCGCCCCCCGGCUUCGGGGGGCGGGCCCGAAAGGCAGCGGCGGCACCGCGUCCGGUCCUCGAGCGUAUGGGGCUUCGUCACCCGCUCUGUAGGCCCGGCCGGCGCCCGCCGGCGACCCCAAUCAAUCUUUCCAGGUUGACCUCGGAUCAGGUAGGGAUACCCGCUGAACUUAAGCAUAUCAUAAGCGGAGGA
rnacentral:misc_RNA from 1 species